CUCUCAGCCCCAUCGCCUUCACCACAUCUCCAAGGUGGGGAGAAGGGCUGAAGAUUGAGUUCAACAUGGGGUUCAGAGAACUCCCAGAAGCCAGGAAGUAUCAAGAGCCUUGGACAUCACUGGGAAACUCCAUGCCUCACGCUGGCCCCAGUCCACAGGAAAGACUGAAAAGAUGAACCAAGAAACUACUUAACCUGGGACAAGGUGUUGAGAAGAUUCUUGGCUUCACCCAUGGGGGAGAUUACAUACAACAGAAGGAAAUAGCGAUCAGGCAGUGCUUAAAAUUUUUAAAUGAAAGUCUAACUUCUGUUCAUGAGUUUGCCUCUCACAGCUCCGUGUUCCCGUCAGAUGUUGCACUCCACCACACCAAGGCAGGUGACCAAGUUCUCCUUAAGUCUUGGAAGGAGACUUCCAGAGGAUCAACUACCCCCCAAGUGGACCAGGCAUUAUGAAGCCCUCCUGACCACCCACCCAUCAGCCAAACUGGCCAGAGUCAAGCUGCAGACUCAUCACACCCGAGUCAGUCCUGGCUCCCCACCCCAUGACCAGAGAACUCAGAAGCUGAAAAGAAAAUAAACUGGUCUUUUGAGCUGCUGAAAGACCUUAAGCUGCUGUUAUGGAUUAAGGCAGCUGACAUCAAACAGUCAUAUAAGUAAAAUGAGUCAGGUUCCGGCAUUUUGGGUUCUGGAAUUUUGGGUUAAUCAAAUAUGGAAUAACCUGCUGUUCUAAGACUGUAGAGAAAGGCACUCAAACAAUGGUAAAGCAAAAUAUAACCCGGUACCCGAGAACAUUUUAAAAAUUUCCUUCCUCAGUUUAGCCAUCUUUGCCCCCUUUCCGGCAGGAAGUAGUGAGAACAAUCAGUGGCCUUCUUCCUGCAAGAAUGAGGAUGGAAAAAAGACAGUGGGGAUUGAAGCUGGGUACCUGGGGGUUACUGUAGAUAUUCCAUGAGAAUAGGAUUGCCCUUGACCUUGUUCCCAAUGCAGACCUAGAUGAAUCUUGUCGAUUGGCUGUUUUCUUGUUUAGCUUGUGAGGUGACUCAGGUCUCGAGGAUUUGUGAGUUUACUUUGCAGAAGAAAGAGAAUGCCUUUGGGGAGGAUGUCGGGCCCUCAGAAGGUACCGAUGCCCAGAAGUCAGAUUGCCCAGGGGCUUAUCAGGAGCGACCCCUUUGUUUCUCCAAAGCUCCUCCUGCCAAGACCCUUAGCUCCAUAAAACCCCCUGCUUUCAGUUCUUGGGGAGGAGAUUUGAGCAAACCCCGGCUCCCACCUUCUCGUUUUGGUCAGUCUGAAUAAACCCUUCUCCAGCUCCAAGCACCAAUGUCUCAGUGCUUGGCUUGCUGCACAUCAGGCACAGGAACCUGAGAUAAGAGGUUUGAUCACCUCCACCAAGUCUCUAGCCUACUAAAGACUGAAGGACAUCUCUUGGAAAGACAGCCUUUGUUUAACACUUCGUGGAGACUUUUAAAGGAGGGGCACACUGUCCUAAAGUUUUAAAACGAUAGCUGUGGAGUCUUUGUGGAUGUGUGUCUACAUCUAUGUUACAUAUGUGUGAUGUUUUACCUCCAGAUGGUAUAAUUCUUUUAAAACUCCAUUUAAUUGGCUUAAAGUAAGCACUUAUAUAAAUUAUUUCUAAAUAUAAUAGGAACUAACCCAAAUGUCUUUCAGGUUAACAUGAUGUGAAAUAAUCUUUGGUAAACAAAAGCUUGUUAAACUUUGUUGGUUUGAUUAAAUAGGCAUGUCCUCACAGUUAUGAACAUUGGUUAUAAUACAGACAUGCAGCCUGGGUUUACUAGUCAAAUAAGCUCAGGUUAUCUCUGUCACAAAACUGGUUAGCAAUAGCAAUCACUUAAAGUGAUAGUUAAUUUUGUCUGAUGUCUCAUAAAGUUUUGUGGGUAAUCUAAACAUAAUUGCUGAGAAGAAAUGACUUAGAUGUAAGUGAGAUAAAAGUUUAUAGAUAAGCUUUUAGCAAUAAUUAUAUUUUAUGGCAUGUGUCUUUAAAAUAACUUCCAAAAUCUCUUUGGAAAUUUGAAACUUUGAAAUUUUUCUAUGUUAAAUUAAAUGAUGGGAAAUUCAUUGACUCAUCUCUAAACUAGAUAAAACAUUAGACAUUAAUUAGUAAAUAUAAGUUUGUCUACUUUUGGCUUCUCAUUACAGAUAAACUACAAGAUGUUUGGGUCUGUUGGUAAACAUGACUUGUACUUUUAUUAGAAGAUUGUACUGUGAAGUAGCAUGUUCCUAGAAAUUGUGAAAAGUAAUAUAUGUUGUAAAGUCACAGAAUGCUAAUGUAAAAGAUAGUUUAUAAUAGCUUACUUCUUAGUUUUCACUGAAAACUAAGGUCUAUGAAGGUUAAGAAUUCUUAUUAAUAUUGGUAAUUAAAACUACUAAAAAUUAGGGGCCAGCCCUGUGACCGACUGUUUAAGUUCGUGUGCUCUGCUUUGGCGGCCCAGGGUUUCACCAGUUCCGAUCCUGGGAGCAUCAUGGCACGGCUCAUCAAGCCAUGCUGAGGUGGCAUCCCACAUGCCACAACAACAGGGACCCACAAAAGAAAAAAAUACACAACUAUGUACCGGGGGGCUUUGAGGAGAAAAAGGAAAAAUAAAAUCUUUAAAAAAAAACCUAGUAAAAAUUAAUAAGAAACACAUCUUUGUAUUCAAGAAAAGUAAGGUGUGUGUUUUCAGUAAAGAAGGUAUAAAGAAUGGAAACAUUUAUGUUGUUUUGUUAAGAAAGAUAAAUUUGUCCUAAAACACUAGAAGAGAAGAAGAGGGCAUGGGACAAAUUCUGAAUGGAAAAAGAAACUUAGAAAAGGUUUGUGGAAGAGGAACCCUGAGGAGAGAGUUUUGUGAAUGGCCAAGUUGGCUAAGAUUAAAAUGAAUUUAAUUAAGGGAGUGAGUUUUAAUGUCAAAAGCAGGUCAGUACAAAAUUAGAAUUUGGUUCUUUCCUUCUCUUAAAAGGAUAAUUUUCCUAAACUUUUAGUCUGCUCUUCAUAAAGAGAUUACGAUGACUCACUCCUACCCCUAAUAAGGACCAUAAAAGUUAGAACGGCUAGCUUACUGUGGAAGGUUACAGAUAGACAUACAGCCGUUGGUGGUCUUCUCCCACAUCAUGGCAGACCCGGGAGGAGUCUUAGCUGAUAUGUCUUGCUGUCUCUAUGUUACUACUAGUGGCACUACAGAAGAGAGUGAAACCGGGUCACUGGAAAAGGCCACUUGGCUGACAGGAAGAAGCCAGUCAGACCACCUGCUCCUGAGCCCCUGAACAACUGUCCUUCUUCUCCUGCUCUUUGGACCCCGCAUAUUCAAUUGUCUGGUAGCUUAUUGAGGCUGUGAAAUUACACCUGGUUGUUACACAAGGAUACAAACAACAGGGGGUUAUGCCUGGUGACCCACAAACCUGUCAUAGAUUAGCUGGGGAAAGUUCUGCUCCUCUAGUGGUCCCUGUGACAACACUCACACCCAGCAGGAAGCCAUUACAGAAAUGGAGGAGCAGGAUCAAACUAGAGGAGGGCUCUUGUCACCGACUAAUUGCCUUGAGGAACUCGAGUGAGAUUUCAGAAGCAUGUUUUCCUCCUGAGCCUGAGCAAGUGAAUAACCACCUCUCCCUUUUCAAUGUUCAUUCCGCAUCCAAAAUAAAAUGCCCUUGCUGUCCUGUGCUUGGGGAGCCACGACUUUGGAAAGGAUUCCAUGUGGUCGCCUUAUUUGCAGCAGAUAAAUUUUACUCUGUGUGACAACUACAUCUGAUGAAGCCUCUGAUUUCAAUUCACUAAGAAGCAGACCCUCUUUGGUUUGGAAACAGAUCCACAUCAGAAGAAGCAAGCCACGGAGACCUGCAGCUACUCCCCCCACCUCCACUGAGCAUGCAAUUCUAGAGUGGAAGUGUCACUCAGACGUAAGUGUGCCCUUGUUCCCAUCCGCAGGUCCAUGGCUGGCUGGGAUACUUUACCUCAGUGGGGAAGCUCCUAAUCUCUUCCCAGAGGAACUGCCUUCAUCUGCAACACGGCACGGAGAAGUUCAAGCCUAAGCAAAGGGCAUCAGAUCUGAAAUACAAGCAGCAACAGGAGAAUAUGAAGAGGAGGAGUCUUAAAAGUCAACUCAAAAAACGGGUUGUAGAGACUCCUCAUCCUGAGGUGUGAGGGAGGUGAUUUAAGACAAGGCGAUAACCCACCUGAAGCCAAGCCUUAUCUGUGUCCAGCCCUGCUCGCCUGACUGGGGAAGACCAAUCGACAGUUCUUGAAGGUAAACCAGAGUCGAGCUGCAUGGUAUCUUCUCGAGGUGGAGACUGGGGGGCUGUUGACCAAUCAGCUGAAAGGACCAGCGUAACAGAGCCAGCAACUGAGAACUGAGACAGCUGGGACAGAAGUCAGCCUACCCCACAACAAACUGGAAAACAUCGAGAAGACUAUCACACAUACAGGUAUGGACGCAGUGACGGGACCAGGGUCUGCACCUUGAAGUUUAAACUAAGAAUACUAUGGAGCACCACAAUUACAUAGCCACUUAAAUAAUAUUUGUUUCAUUCUUGAUUUUGUAAAUGAAUAGUUGCAGGAGAUGGUUUAUAAAAUAUUGUAUAUUAUCUCUGUAGUCGAUGUACAUCGUUUCUAAGUAAGCAUGAAACCUGGCUCAAAUGCUUUCACUUCUAAAAGUCUGUGUGGGGGAUGCGUGGAGGCCCUGUCUAGAUGCGAGCCACGGUGGCAUUCGGAGCAAUGAGGGGCACCAUGGCUUUGUCACCAAUGACCUAGAAGUGCCAAGGGAAUUCUGCCAUUUCUGGGGCCCUUGAGGAAGGUUCUGCCAAGAUGAGUGCCUCAGAGACAAGGAUCUCUCCCCAGCCUGAGUUCAAUGAAAGUACAGGAAAAGGAAAAAGAAAGGAAUGGUGAGUGUUGCGCUCUUCCCCUCAGAGGGCACCUCUAGCAGUGGUUCCACUGGGGGUGGACAAUUUUUUGGCAUCUGGCUCCUUAACAAGGCUCUCGGGACCCCACUCGGGCUGCAGGGGAUGGGGUGUGAGUGCUAAAGCUCCUUCGUGAGGGGCCGCAGACUUACCCCAAUCGCUCAAAGCCCCAAAUCCCAUUCUGGGUGCAGCUGGGCUACUGCCCAGCAGGCGGUUCAGAUCCAGACGGCAGAGGCGCAUGCGUCACCCUGGGACGAGUGUCUGACUUCAGCUCUUACGUGGGGAGAGAAGUAGAAGGUGGAAGCAGAAAGAAAGAGCAGAAGUUCUGGAGUCAGCCAGACCUGUUGUGUGACCUUGGGCAAGUGACUUUGCCUCUCUGAGCCCUGACUAUUUAGUCUUCAUACUG
rnacentral:lncRNA from 1 species